UCCGGUUUGUCACCGGCAGUCUUGCAUGAGUCCCCGGCCGAACCGCUGGCAACAUGCAACGGGGGUUGCGCUCGUUGCGGGACUUAACCCAACAUCUCACGACACGAGCUGACGACAGCCAUGCACCACCUGUGCAGGGCCCUUACGGACACCGUAUCUCUACGGCUUUUCCCCGCAUGUCAAACCCAGGUAAGGUUCUUCGCGUUGCCUCGAAUUAAGCAACAUGCUCCGCCGCUUGUGCGGGUCCCCGUCAAUUCCUUUGAGUUUUAGCCUUGCGGCCGUACUCCCCAGGCGGGGCACUUAAUGCGUUAGCUCCGGCACGGGAGGAGUCGACACCUCCCACACCUAGUGCCCAUCGUUUACGGCGUGGACUAC
rnacentral:misc_RNA from 1 species